rnacentral:rRNA from 1 species
AUGGCCGGAUCCGGUGACGAUGAGGACGAGGAGGCCAUGAAGGGCCUCUACGCCGGUGUGGCCCCCGCCCCUGCGGAGGAUGAGGAGGAGGUCGACGAGGGGUACGCCGUCGCGGCGAUGAAGGUGGGGGAGGAGAGGGGGAUCGGGAAGGAGGGGCUGCGGAAGAGGCUGGUGCGGGAGGGGGAGGGGUCGCAGCUCCCCGGCGCCGGCGACAAGGUCGAAGUGCACUACACGGGGACGCUGGCGGACGGCACCAAGUUCGACUCCAGAGAAGCCCCGUUCCGGUUCACCCUCGGCCGAGGUUCAUUAAUGACAGCCAAGGGUUCAUGCUCGGAAACGACUACAUCUUGCUCCAUGUUGUCGGCUCAGCUAAAGUCCUUAAUCAUGAGGAGAUGGGACACGUCGAUUGUUAAAGUACACUUGACAGGUGCAUUUUGUGAAAUUCUAGCCAAAAGAUUGAUAGCAUGCUUGCCUGCUUGUUCUUUUGAGUUCAAAUAA